GCAGUGAUGGUUCAGUGGUAGAAUUCUUGCCUUCCAUGCAGGAGAUACAGGUUUGAUUCCCAGCCAAUGCA
rfam:Loxodonta africana unplaced genomic scaffold scaffold_12, whole genome shotgun sequence.